UACGAAGGACCCAAGCGUUAUCCGGAUUUAUUGGGUUUAAAGGGUGCGUAGGCGGGUUAUUAAGUCAGUGGUGAAAGCCUUCAGCUUAACUGGAGAAUUGCCAUUGAUACUGAUGAUCUUGAGUAUGAUUGAGGUGGGCGGAAUGUGUCAUGUAGCGGUGAAAUGCUUAGAUAUGACACAGAACACCGAUUGCGAAGGCAGCUCACUACACAAAGAUUGACACUGAGGCACGAAAGCGUGGGGAGCAAACAGG
rnacentral:rRNA from 1 species